rnacentral:tRNA from 1 species
CAUCAAGAAGCUAUAAUAGCAUUAACCUUUUAAGUUAAAGAUUGAGAACAUGACAUUCUCCUUGAUGA